AACGCAGCGAAGGGCGAUAAGUAGUGUGAAUUGCAGAAUUCAGUGAAUCAUCGAAUCUUUGAACGCACAUUGCGCCCCUUGGUAUUCCACGGGGCAUGCCUGUUCGAGCGUCAUUUGUACCUUCAAAGCUUUGCUUGGUGUUGGGUGUUUGUCUCGCCUUUGCGUGUAGACUCGCCUUAAAACAAUUGGCAGCCGGCGUAUUGAUUUCGGAGCGCAGUACAUCUCGCGCUUUGCACUCAUAACGACGACGUACCAAAAGUACUUUUUACACUCUUGACCUCGGAUCAGGUAGGGAUACCCGCUGAACUUAA
rnacentral:rRNA from 1 species